rnacentral:rRNA from 1 species
UACGUAGGGCGCAAGCGUUGUCCGGUAUUAUUGGGCGUAAAGAGCUCGUAGGCGGUCUGUCGCGUCGGCUGUGAAAACCCGGGGCUCAACCCCGGGCCUGCAGUCGAUACGGGCAGACUAGAGUGUGGUAGGGGAGACUGGAAUUCCUGGUGUAGCGGUGGAAUGCGCAGAUAUCAGGAGGAACACCGGUGGCGAAGGCGGGUCUCUGGGCCAUAACUGACGCUGAGGAGCGAAAGCGUGGGGAGCGAACAGG